rnacentral:rRNA from 1 species
CAGUAGCCACGGGAAUACAGAGGGUGCGAGCGUUAAUCGGAUUUACUGGGCGUAAAGCGUGCGUAGGCGGCUUCUUAAGUCGGAUGUGAAAUCCCUGAGCUUAACUUAGGAAUUGCAUUCGAUACUGGGAAGCUAGAGUAUGGGAGAGGAUGGUAGAAUUCCAGGUGUAGCGGUGAAAUGCGUAGAGAUCUGGAGGAAUACCGAUGGCGAAGGCAGCCAUCUGGCCUAAUACUGACGCUGAGGUACGAAAGCAUGGGGAGCAAACAGGAUUAGAUACCCCGUAGUCCCUGUCUCUUAUACA